GGGCUAGAUAUGGGUCUAUUAGGUCAGAUCAAAUUUGGGCUUCGAGCCAAGUAUGGGCUCGAAUUGAGGUCGGGAUUUAGGUAAUAUAUCUUGUCGAAGCAUGAUCGAAAGCCUGUAAAAAAUUUUUUGGGCCUCAAACAUGUUACUUGACCGAAUGCCAAUCCUAGAUAUGAUAAAAAGAAAUUCUUUGUGCACCAUGAGUGGUGCAGAAUACGUGCACUGUUCGUGA
rnacentral:lncRNA from 1 species